rnacentral:rRNA from 1 species
UUAAGUGGCGGACGGGUGAGUAACGCGUGGGUAACCUGCCUCAUACAGGGGGAUAACAGUUAGAAAUGACUGCUAAUACCGCAUAAGACCACAGCACCGCAUGGUGCAGGGGUAAAAACUCCGGUGGUAUGAGAUGGACCCGCGUCUGAUUAGGUAGUUGGUGGGGUAACGGCCUACCAAGCCGACGAUCAGUAGCCGACCUGAGAGGGUGACCGGCCACAUUGGGACUGAGACACGGCCCAA